GUCGUCCGUACCGCAUCCGACACAGGUAGAUGAGAUGAGUAUUCUAAGGCGCGUGAAAGAACUCUGGUUAAGGAACUCUGCAAACUAGCACCGUAAGUUCGCGAUAAGGUGUGCCGCAGCAAUGCGGUCUCAGCAAAGAGUCCCUCCCGACUGUUUACCAAAAACACAGCACUUUGCCAACUCGUAAGAGGAAGUAUAAGGUGUGACGCCUGCCCGGUGCUCGAAGGUUAAGAGGAUGCGUCAGUCGCAAGAUGAAGCGUUGAAUUGAAGCCCGAGUAAACGGCGGCCGUAACUAUAACGGUCCUAAGGUAGCGAAAUUCCUUGUCGGUUAAAUACCGACCUGCAUGAAUGGCGUAACGAGAUGGGAGCUGUCUCAACCAGAGAUUCAGUGAAAUUGUAGUGGAGGUGAAAAUUCCUCCUACCCGCGGCAAGACGGACAGACCCCGUGGACCUUUACUACAACUUAGCACUGCUAAUGGGAAUAUCAUGCGCAGGAUAGGUGGGAGGCUUUGAAGUAAGGGCUUUGGCUCUUAUGGAGCCAUCCUUGAGAUACCACCCUUGAUGUUUCUGUUAGCUAACUGGCCUGUGUUAUCCACAGGCAGGACAAUGCUUGGUGGGGUAGUUUGACU
rnacentral:rRNA from 1 species